rnacentral:rRNA from 1 species
CAGCCGCCGCGGUAAUACGAAGGGUGCAAGCGUUACUCGGAAUUACUGGGCGUAAAGCGUGCGUAGGUGGUUCGUUAAGUCUGAUGUGAAAGCCCCGGGCUCAACCUGGGAAUUGCAUUGGAUACUGGCGGGCUAGAGUACGGUAGAGGGUGGCGGAAUUCCUGGUGUAGCAGUGAAAUGCGUAGAUAUCAGGAGGAACAUCCGUGGCGAAGGCGGCCACCUGGACCAGUACUGACACUGAGGCACGAAAGCGUGGGGAGCAAACAGGAUUAGAUACCCUGGUAGUCCACGCCCUAAACGAUGCGAACUGGAUGUUGGGGACAAUUGAGUCUUCAGUAUCGAAGCUAACGCGUUAAGUUCGCCGCCUGG